rnacentral:rRNA from 1 species
CCAAUAGCGUAUAUUAAAGUUGUUGCAGUUAAAAAGCUCGUAGUUGAAUUUCGGGAUUCAUCCGUUGGUCGGGCUUCACGGUCCGUACUGGUGUGAUGGGUUCCUACCUUCUGAAUAACCGGCAUGCCAUUAAUUUGGUGCGCCGGGGAAGCAGAACUAUUACCUUGAAAAAAUUAGAGUGCUUAAAGCAGGCAAGUGCCUGAAUAGGUUAGCAUGGAAUAAUAAAAUAGGACGGCAUGGUUCUAUUUUGUUGGUUUCUAGGAUCACCGUAAUGAUUAAUAGGGAUAGUUGGGGGCAUUAGUAUUCAAUUGUCAGAGGUGAAAUUCUUGGAUUUAUUGAAGACUAACUUCUGCGAAAGCAUUUGCCAAGGAUGUUUUCAUUAAUCAAGAACGAAAGUUAGGGGAUCGAAGACGAUCAGAUACCGUCGUAGUCUUAACCAUAAACUAUGCCGACUAGGGAUCGGACGAUGUUAAUUUUUUAAUGACUCGUUCGGCGCCUUACG